CCUACGGGAGGCAGCAGUGGGGGAUAUUGCACAAUGGGGGGAACCCUGAUGCAGCGACGCCGCGUGGGUGAAGGAGUGCUUCGGCAUGUAAAGCCCUAUCGGCAGGGAAGAAGCAAGACGGUACCUGACUAAGAAGCGCCGGCUAACUACGUGCCAGCAGCCGCGGUAAGACGUAGGGGGCGAGCGUUAUCCGGAUUCACUGGGUGUAAAGGGAGCGUAGACGGCCAUGCAAGCCAGGGGUGAAAGCCCGGGGCCCAACCCCGGGACUGCCCUUGGAACUGCCUGGCUGGAGUGCGGGAGGGGCAGGCGGAAUUCCUGGUGUAGCGGUGAAAUGCGUAGAUAUCAGGAGGAACACCGGCGGCGAAGGCGGCAUGCUGGACCGCGACUGACGUUGAGGCUCGAAAGCGUGGGGAGCGAACAGGAUUAGAUACCCCAGUAGUC
rnacentral:rRNA from 1 species